CAGUAGCCACGGGAAUACAGAGGGUGCGAGCGUUAAUUGGAUUUACUGGGCGUAAAGCGUGCGUAGGCGGCUUUUUAAGUCGGAUGUGAAAUCCCUGAGCUUAACUUAGGAAUUGCAUUCGAUACUGGGAAGCUAGAGUAUGGGAGAGGAUGGUAGAAUUCCAGGUGUAGCGGUGAAAUGCGUAGAGAUCUGGAGGAAUACCGAUGGCGAAGGCAGCCAUCUGGCCUAAUACUGACGCUGAGGUACGAAAGCAUGGGGAGCAAACAGGAUUAGAUACCCCCGUAGUCCCUGUCUCUUAUAC
rnacentral:rRNA from 1 species